AUGGCCUACCAAGACGAUGAUGUGUAGCCGGGCUGAGAGGUCGAACGGCCACAUUGGGACUGAGACACGGCCCAAACUCCUACGGGAGGCAGCAGUAAGGAAUUUUCGGCAAUGGAGGAAACUCUGACCGAGCAAUGCCGCGUGAACGAUGAAGUAUUUCGGUACGUAAAGUUCUUUUAUUAGGGAAGAAAAGAUGGUGGAAAAACCAUUAUGACGGUACCUAAUGAAUAAGCCCCGGCUAACUAUGUGCCAGCAGCCGCGGUAAUACAUAGGGGGCAAGCGUUAUCCGGAAUUAUUGGGCGUAAAGGGUGCGUAGGCGGUUAAAUAAGUUUAUGGUCUAAGUGCAACGCUCAACGUUGUGAUGCUAUAAAAACUGUUUAGCUAGAGUUGGAUAGAGGCAAGUGGAAUUCCGUGUGUAGUGGUAAAAUGCGUAAAUAUACGGAGGAACACCAGAAGCGAAGGCGGCUUGCUGGGUCUUAACUGACGCUGAGGCACGAAAGCGUGGGGAGCAAACAGGAUUAGAUACCCUGGUAGUCCACGCCCUAAACGAUGAGUACUAAACGUUGGAUAAAACCAGUGUUGAAGUUAACACAUUAAGUACUCCGCCUGAGUAGUACGUACGCAAGUAUGAAACUUAAAGGAAUUGACGGGACUCCGCACAAGCGGUGGAUCAUGUUGUUUAAUUCGAAGGUACCCGAAAAACCUCACCAGGUCUUGACAUGCUUUUGCAAAGCUGUAGAAAUACAGUGGAGGUUAUCAGAAGCACAGGUGGUGCAUGGUUGUCGUCAGCUCGUGUCGUGAGAUGUUGGGUUAAGUCCCGCAACGAGCGCAACCCUUGUUGUUAAUUGCCAUCAUUAAGUUGGGGACUUUAGCAAGACUGCCAAUGAUAAAUUGGAGGAAGGUGGGGACGACGUCAAAUCAUCAUGCCCCUUAUGACCUGGGCUACAAACGUGAUACAAUGGCUGUUACAAAGGGUAGCUAAAGCGUA
rnacentral:rRNA from 1 species